GGCGAGUUCGGUUCGAGUCUUCAUCGAUCGGGUGGAUCUAUAUGCUGAGGGGGGUGAGAGAGGUGUAGCGCAGUCUGGUCAGCGCAUCUGUUUUGGGUACAGAGGGCCAUAGGUUCGAAUCCUGUCACCUUGAU